AUUGAACGCUGGCGGCAGGCCUAACACACGCAAGUCGAACGAGUGGCGGACGGGUGAGUAAUGUCUGGGAAACUGCCUGAUGGCGGGGGAUAAAUACUGGAAACGGUAGCUAAUACCGCAUACCAUCGGAUGUGCCCAGAUGGGAUUAGCUAGUAGGUGGGGUAACGGCUCACCUAGGCGACGAUCCCUAGCUGUUCUGAGAGGCUGACCAGCCACACUGGAGCUGAGACACGGUCCAGACUCCUACGGGAGGCAGCAGUGGGAAAUAUUGCACAUUGGGCGCAAGCCUGAGGCAGCCAUGCCGCGUGUAUGAAGAAGGCCUUCGGGGUGUAAAGUACUGUCAUCGGGGAGGCGUUACCCGCAGAGGAAGCACCGGCUAACUCCGGGCCAGCAGCCGCGGUAAUUC
rnacentral:rRNA from 1 species